rnacentral:rRNA from 1 species
CCCAGUCGAGCGGCGGACGGGUGAGUAACGCGUGGAUGAUCUACCUUUUGGUGGGGGAUAACCCGGGGAAACUCGGGCUAAUACCGCAUGAGAUCGCGAGAUGAAAGGGGCGCAAGUCCCGCCGGAAGAGGAGUCCGCGUCCGAUUAGCUGGUUGGUAGGGUAAUGGCCUACCAAGGCGACGAUCGGUAGCCGGCCUGAGAGGGUGAUCGGCCACACUGGAACUGAGACACGGUCCAG